rnacentral:tRNA from 1 species
UGGGGUGUAGCUCAAUGGUAGAGCAUUUGCCUAGCAUGCAUGAGAUCUCUGACACUUCAA